rnacentral:tRNA from 1 species
GGGGAAUUAGCUCAGUUGGGAGAGCACCUCCAUGGCAUGGAGGGGGUCAGGGGUUCGAGUCCCCUAUUCUCCA